CUCUGGCCCUCACCUGCCCCAAAGUCCCAAAGUAUCAGCCAUUUGUGCACAUGAUUCUGUGUGUGGGUGUGCUUCACUUCUGUAUGCAUUUCUAAAUCUUGAGCCAAUAUUAAAAAUUCAGGAUCUUUUAUGCUAAAAGAUAUGGAUUUCUGGCAUCACUUGGAAAACUGGCUCAUCUUACAUCACAGGGCCACAUUCUCAUAAAGGAAAAAUCAGCUGGAAAGGAUGGUGUGCUCUAGAUAGGUGUGAUCCCUCCCACUUUCCAGUCCCUUCCACAUGGUAUCACCUCUCCAACAAUAAAGCCCCAAUCCAGUUGCCAUUUUUUGCCAUACCAAGUGCCUUGUCAUUGUGUAUAGAGUAUAGAAACAUUUCUUUGUAGUCAUUUCUCUAUCAAAGUGAAAAAAAUAAGAUACACCAAGAAAGCUGAGUUUCAAGAAAACAAGAAACCAUAUCUCUUUGUGGAUGCUAAGAAAUAUUCCUCUGCAUUUGGCUAGCUGGCUGGGACCCCAGUCAUCUGAAGGCUUGACUAGGGCUGGAGAGUCUGCUUCCCAGAUGGCUCACCCACAAGGCUGGCAGGCGUUCCUGGCACUGUUUCACACAGACCUGAGAUGGAAGGAGCUAGCCUAAGUGGGGAACUGUGAUGUUCUCACCAAAUCCCAUUACACUUUCCACGAGGCACUGUCUCUAAAAAACUAGAAUCUAAGACACAAUUUGAUGACAUCUGCUGUUUCGUCUAGGACUCUCUCAGCUGCAAGUGACCAAAGAAAAAAAGAAAAAGGCAGAAACCAAAUACGAGCUCACAGAACUGAAAAGUCCAGCAAAAGGGCUGAGCCGCUUCUGGUGUCGCCUGAGGUUUGCGCUACCACAAAACCCUGGUUUCUUUCCACGUCUCAGCUCGUCUUUGAUCUGCUCCCUGAGCUGGUGUCUUCUCAGGCCACCUCCGAUGGCAAAAAUGGAGACAGUGGUUCCCAUGUCCAUGCUUCCAGAUUCAAGCCUGUGGGGGAGGAGCCCCCACCUCUCUUCCAGAAAGUCUCAUUGGCUCUGGUUGGAGCCCAGGCCCCUCCCAAGCCUGGAAGACAAACUGGUUUUGGCCAGUCGGGCUGACUCCUAGAGUGGGAUCAAUCCCACCCAAAGUAGAAGUGCCAGAAUGGGGAGCAGGGGUGGGGGGAGGGAAGGGGAGGUUCUUAAAGGGCAUGUGAGGUGCUUUUUUACCCAAAGGGUGAAUGGAUGCUCAGUGGCCUGAGAUGCGCACGUGUGAAAAUGAAAAUGAAUUAAAUUCCAUCAUCCACCUUG